UACGUAGGUGGCAAGCGUUGUCCGGAUUUAUUGGGUUUAAAGGGUGCGUAGGCGGUCUUUUAAGUCAGUGCUGAAAUAUCCCGGCUUAACCGGGAGGGUGGCAUUGAUACUGAAGGACUUGAGUAAAGUUGAGGUAGGCGGAAUUGACGGUGUAGCGGUGAAAUGCUUAGAUAUCGUCAAGAACACCGGUAGUGUAGACAGCUUACUAAGCUUUAACUGACGCUGAGGCACGAAAGUGUGGGGAUCAAACAGG
rnacentral:rRNA from 1 species